AUAUUUCGGAAUUCUUUCAAACAAUUCUUCAAUGUUAUUUGUGAAGAAAUAUUUAAAGCUCAGAUUUUUUAAAGAUCUAUUCAAGCUAUGAUUUCAGAAUAUAUUUAGAUAAUUUGCAAAAUCAAAUCGAAUUUAUCAUUUUUUUAAAUAAUGCGCAAUCGAAGAUUUUUUUUGUCGAAGACAAUGCCCUAGGUCAGAAGGACAACUGGAACGCCGUGAGAGGGUGGGAGUGCGGAGAAGUAUUAAAUCAUAGCGAGGCCACUUCCAAAGUCAGUUCUACGUUGAACGUCCAGACAAGAAAUUCUUCCUUGGUAACUAUUCAUUGAUUGUUUUAUUGAAAAAUUUAUCAUUUUCUUCUUCUAUUUUUUCUUUAUAAAUAUUUUUAUGAAAUUUCACUCAAUAGUUUUACUAUAAAAUAAAAAAUAAGAAAGAACAGAAUUCUUCAAAUAUUUCAUUAAGUAAGCAGUAAUUGUGAUUGUGUUUCUGAAGUGAAUCUUCUCGUGCAUUAAAAAAAGUUAAAAGAAAAUUUUGUUAUCAUUAACAAUAUUGGUUAUGAAGUUAACAGCGUGGAGUUUUGUGUUGUGCAUCCUGGUAACUGUUUUCUUCCUGGCGGUUACCACAUCUGCAUAUCCUGCUAGCAAUCCAGAAAUAAUGUAUAACUUGCAGGCGAUCGAAAAUAUGCGACAGAUUCCGCAAUGGCAUUGUUUGCGCUACAGAAAAUUUGAUCUCGUACGCCGCUGUCGGAAUUACCGUUUAGGAAGAAAACAUUGACAAAUAAAAAAUCAUCGCAAUU